rnacentral:rRNA from 1 species
GACGUAGGGCGCGAGCGUUGUCCGGAUUUAUUGGGCGUAAAGAGCUCGUAGGCGGCUUGUCGCGUCGAAUGUGAAAUCUCAGGGCUCAACUCUGACAUUGCAUUCGAUACGGGCAGGCUCGAGUUCGGUAGGGGAGACUGGAAUUCCUGGUGUAGCGGUGAAAUGCGCAGAUAUCAGGAGGAACACCGGUGGCGAAGGCGCGUCUCUGGGCCGAUACUGACGCUGAGGAGCGAAAGCGUGGGGAGCGAACAGG